UUCCGGUUGAUCCCGCCGGACCUGACUGCUAUCGGAUUGAUACUAAGCCAUGCGAGUCUUUGUAGUAAUACAAGGCAUACGGCUCAGUAACGCGUAGUCAACCUACCCUAUGGACAAGAAUAAUCUCGGGAAACUGAGCAUAAUUCUUGAUAGAUCAUAAUGCCUGGAAUGGUUUAUGGUUAAAAUGAUUCGUCGCCAUAGGAUGGGACUGCGGCCUAUCAGCUUGUUGGUGAGGUAAUGGCCCACCAAGGCGAUUACAGGUACGGGCUCUGAGAGGAGAAGCCCGGAGAUGGGUACUGAGACAAGGACCCAGGCCCUAUGGGGCGCAGCAGGCGAGAAAACUUUGCAAUGUGCGAAAGCACGACAAGGUUAGUCCGAGUGAUUUCUGCUAAAGAGAUCUUUUGCUAGUUAUAAAACCACUAGUGAAUAAGGGGUGGGCAAGUUCUGGUGUCAGCCGCCGCGGUAAAACCAGCACCUCAAGUGGUCAGGAUGAUUAUUGGGCCUAAAGCAUCCGUAGCCGGCUCUGUAAGUUUUCGGUUAAAUCUAUGCGCUCAACGUAUGGGCUGCCGAAAAUACUGUAGAGAUAGGGAGUGGGAGAGGUAGACGGUACUCGGUAGGAAGGGGUAAAAUCCUUUGAUCUAUCGAUGACCACCUGUGGCGAAGGCGGUCUACCAGAACACGUUCGACGGUGAGGGAUGAAAGCUGGGGGAGCAAACCGGAUUAGAUACCCGGGUAGUCCCAGCUGUAAACGAUGCAGACUCGAUGAUGCAUUGGCAUAUAGCCAGUGCAGUGUCGCAGGGAAGCCGUUAAGUCUGCCGCCUGGGAAGUACGUACGCAAGUAUGAAACUUAAAGGAAUUGGCGGGGGAGCACCACAAGGGGUGAAGCCUGCGGUUCAAUUGGAUUCAACGCCGGG
rnacentral:rRNA from 2 species